rnacentral:rRNA from 1 species
GAGAACGACCAUACCAACAUGACAGCACCGCUUCCCGUCUGCUCAGCGAAGUUAAGCAUGUUCGGGCCUGGUUAGUAAUAGAGCGUUACAAGCAGUAAGUAGUCAAAUAGGUUUAGACU